UACGGGACGCCGCAGUGGGGAAUAUUGCACAAUGGGCGCAAGCCUGAUCCACCCAUGCCGCGUGUGUGAAGAAGCCCUUCGGGUUGUAAACCACUUUUGUUGGGGAAGAAACCGUCCGGAUUAAUCCUUCGUGCGGAUCACGGUACCCAAAGAAUAAGCCCCGGCUAACUUCGUCCCCGCAGCCGCGGUAAUACGAAGGGCGCAAGCGUUUCUCGGAAUUACUGGGCGUAAAGCGUGCGCAGGCGGUUCGUUAAGUCUGCUGUGAAACCCCUGGGCUCACCCUGGGAAUGCCAGUGGAUACUGGCCAGCUAGAGUACGGUAGAGGAAGGUGGAAUUCCCGGUGUACCGGUGAAAUGCGUAGAGAUCGGGAGGACCACCAGUGGCGAAGGCGACCUUCUGGACCAGUACUGCCGCUCAUGCACGAAAGCGUGGGGAGCAAAACAGGAUUAGAUACCCCUGGUAGUCCACGCCCUAAACCGAUGNAAAGGUGGAUGUUGGGCACACUUUGGUGCUCAGUGUNCGAAAGCUAACGCGU
rnacentral:rRNA from 1 species